AUUGAACGCUGGCGGCAUGCUUUACACAUGCAAGUCGAACGGCAGCGCGGGCUUCGGCCUGGCGGCGAGUGGCGAACGGGUGAGUAAUACAUCGGAACGUGCCCAGUAGUGGGGGAUAGCUCGGCGAAAGCCGGAUUAAUACCGCAUACGACCUGAGGGUGAAAGCGGGGGAUCUUCGGACCUCGCGCUAUUGGAGCGGCCGAUGGCAGAGUAGCUAGUUGGUGGGGUAAAGGCCUACCUAGGCGACGAUCUGUAGCUGGUCUGAGAGGACGACCAGCCACACUGGGACUGAGACACGGCCCAGGCUACUGCGGGAGGCAGCAGUGGGGAAUUUUGGACAAUGGGCGAAAGCCUGAUCCAGCAAUGCCGCGUGUGUGAUGAAGGCCUUCGGGUUGUAAAGCACUUUUGGCGGGAACGAAAAGGACUGUGCCAAUACCACGGUUCGAUGACGGUACCCGCAGAAUAAGCACCGGCUAACUACGUG
rnacentral:rRNA from 1 species